UGGGUUUUUGCCAUGUUGGCCAGGCAGGUCUUGAACUCUUGACCUCAGGUGAUCCGCCUGCCUCAGUGUCCCAAAGUGUUGGGAUUACAGGCACGAGCCACCGCGCUCAGCCAAUUUUUCCUCAACUCUCUCUUUCCUGGACGGGCUGCGUUGGGGGGAGGUGCAGGGAAAGAACACCUCUUUGCUUAGACAUUGGUGUCGACAGUGGGGAUACUAAGUUCAUCUCCUGAUCCUGCUAGGCCUGGAAGCAGGAAAGAAAUGUCCUGGUUAGAGAUAAAAUUGUUCUAUCCUUUUAGAAAAGCCUGUUAAGGAAUAUGAUGCAAAGCCACCUUCGACGAAAUCUGAAAUGAUACCCCACAGCCUUGUCCACCCCAAUUAUUCAGUGACAGGGCUCCAGUUGCUUAAGCCAUAGAGAAGGCCCCUUUGCAGUGGGAGUCACUGAAGACAGAAAGGGAAGCCCAGGAUGAACCCAGUCCUAAGGGCUGCUGGGGGCCACCAAAUAAGACUGUUUUAGCCCUGGACACAGAGGGAGACACAGUCAUCCCAGAUCCUUACAAAGAAUACAUUGCCAAGGACCCCGAAGGAAAUCUGCUUGUCUUAAGAGAGGAAGACCCACGACCAGCUCUCUGGGACUACCUGUCAACUCAGCAGGUGCAGCCAGGGAGCAGCCAUGCUUCUUCUGCCCUCCCAGUAGGCUGGGCUAUCAGUUCCUGGGAGGGGUCCUGUCCCCAUGUAAGGGGAUAUGUACAUUGCUGAGUACGCUGAUAUCUUUUUCAUGGGUAUGAUUUUUUAACAAGAAAGCUAAAUGGUUCUCGUGUAACAUAACUGAUAUAGUUUGGCUGUGUCCCCACCCAAAUCUUAUCUUGAACUGCAGCUCCCAUAAUCCCCAGGUGUUGUGGGAGGGACCCAGUGGGAGGUAAUUGAAUCAUGGGGGUGGUUACCGCCAUGCUGUUCUCGUGAUAGCGAGUGAGUUCUCACGAGAUCUGAUGGUUUUAUAAGGGGCUUUCCCCCUCCUUCGCUCUGCACUUCUCCUUGCUGCCAUGCGAAGAAGGAUGUGUUUGCUUCCCCUUCUGCCAUGAUUGUAAGUUUCCUGAGGCCUCCCCAGCCAUGUUAAACUUUGAGUUAAUUAAACCUCUUUCCUUUAUAAAUUA
rnacentral:lncRNA from 1 species